AGCGAACGCUGGCGGCAGGCCUAACACAUGCAAGUCGAACGAACCCUUCGGGGUUAGUGGCGGACGGGUGAGUAACACGUGGGAACGUGCCUUUAGGUUCGGAAUAACUGAGGGACACUUGUGCUAAUACCGAAUGCGCCCUUCGGGGGAAAGAUUUAUCGCCUUUAGAGCGGCCCGCGUCUGAUUAGCUAGUUGGUGAGGUAAUGGCUCACGAAGGCUACGAUCAGUAGCUGGUCUGAGAGGAUGACCAGCCACAUUGGGACUGAGACACGGCCCAAACUCCUACGGGAGGCAGCAGUGGGGAAUCUUGCGCAAUGGGCGAAAGCCUGACGCAGCCAUGCCGCGUGGAUGAUGAAGGUCUUAGGAUUGUAAAAUCCUUUCACCGGUGAAGAUAAUGACUGUAGCCGGAGAAGAAGCCCCGGCUAACUUCGUGCCAGCCGCCGCAGUAAAAC
rnacentral:rRNA from 1 species